rnacentral:rRNA from 1 species
GACGAACGCUGGCGGCGUGCCUAAUACAUGCAAGUCGAGCGGACCAAAGGGAGCUUGCUCCUGGAGGUUAGCGGCGAACGGGUGAGUAACACGUGGGCAACCUGCCUGUAAGACUGGGAUAACAUCGAGAAAUCGGUGCUAAUACCGGAUAAUAAAAAGAACUGCAUGGUUCUUUUUUGAAAGAUGGUUUCGGCUAUCACUUACAGAUGGGCCCGCGGCGCAUUAGCUAGUUGGUGGGUAACGGCUCACCAAGGCGACGAUGCGUAGCCGACCUGAGAGGGUGAUCGGCCACACUGGGACUGAGACACGGCCCAGACUCCUACGGGAGGCAGCAGUAGGGAAUCUUCCGCAAUGGACGAAAGUCUGACGGAGCAACGCCGCGUGAGUGAUGAAGGUUUUCGGAUCGUAAAACUCUAGUUGUUAGGGAAGAACAAGUGCCGUUCGAAAGGGCGGCACCUUGACGGUACCUAACGAGAAAGCCACGGCUAACUACGUGCCAGC